rnacentral:lncRNA from 1 species
CUUGAUUUGAAUGCUUUGAAUGCAACAGAACGUUAAAAAGAGCUCAUCAUUAGUCUGGAGUAAAUAAAUUUCCUGCAUCACAUUUUGAAGAGAAGAUGCCAAUAGCUGUAGGAGUGAACAAAGUCAUUCAUUACAGGUACCUCAUACAGUAUGUUCUUCAAGCACAACUACUACCUCUAGGAAGAGGAUCUUAGCUGCGGAAUAUAUUGGGGGUUAAUCUUCAGGGAUGAAACAGAUUACCAGCUUUUGAACCAAUUUAAGUAGAAUCUCCAGAAACAAAGCCAGGACAAAUAAUUAUUGGCAGUUCACAGAAGGCAUUCUGUGCCCACAGCUCUGCAGGAUGCCGUUAAAGUCAGUUCACUUGUCUUAAUGGGAAACACCUGUGGUCUGGAACACAA